rnacentral:rRNA from 1 species
UUUGAAAUCCGGCCCCCCGGGCCCGAGUUGUAAUUUGCAGAGGACGCUCCCGGCGCGGCGCCUUCCGAGUUCCCUGGAACGGGACGCCACAGAGGGUGAGAGCCCCGUCCGGUCGGACGCCAAGCCUCCGUGGAGCUCCUUCGACGAGUCGAGUAGUUUGGGAAUGCUGCUCAAAAUGGGAGGUAUAUGUCUUCUAAAGCUAAAUACCGGCCAGAGACCGAUAGCGCACAAGUAGAGUGAUCGAAAGAUGAAAAGCACUUUGAAAAGAGGGUUAAACAGUACGUGAAAUUGUUGAAAGGGAAGCGCUCGCGCCAGACUCGGGCCCGGCGGAUCAUCCGGCGUUCUCGCCGGUGCGCUCCGCCGGGCCCGGGCCAGCAUCGGUCCGCGGCGGGGGACAAAGGCUCCGGGAACGUGGCCCCCACGGGGGUGUUAUAGCCCGCUGCGCAAUGCCCCGCGGCGGACCGAGGUACGCGCCCCGCAAGGAUGCUGGCGUAAUGGCCUCCAGCGACCCGUCUUGAAACACGGACCAAGGAGUCGUCUUCGUAUGCGAGUGUUCGGGUGUCAAACCCCUACGCGCAAUGAAAGUGAACGCUGGUGAGAGCCUCGGCGCAUCACCGACCGAUCCUGAUGUUCUCGGAUGGAUUUGAGUAAGAGCAUACGGGGCCGGACCCGAAAGAAGGUGAACUAUGCCUGUGUAGGGUGAAGCCAGAGGAAACUCUGGUGGAGGCUCGCAGCGGUUCUGACGUGCAAAUCGAUCGUCAAACAUGGGCAUGGGGGCGAAAGACUAAUCGAACCUUCUAGUAGCUGGUU